rnacentral:lncRNA from 1 species
CUUUGGUCCAGGCCUGGUUUCCAUGGCAAACUGUGAAGACUGCUCAGCCCAUAAGCACAACCAGGAGGUAAAAGAGUGAAAAAGUACACUACUUGUAGCUAGUAGAGAAAGCCCUGGGAAUAAUUCCCAAAGCCCUGUCUCCCUGAACAAAGACAGCGAAGGACUUUUAUUGGAGAAAUUAGUGAUAUCACAUAGGAAUGACUCACCAUCCCAUUAGAGGUGGGCAGCCCACCUCUAAUGCUCAUAGGUCAAGCCCAGUGAGAACUCAGUGUGACCACGAGAAAAGUUCAGGUCGCCUAAAAAGAGUGAGUCAGUGACUUGCUGAUCGGAGUUGGUGCCUUGUAAAUUUCUUGGGAGGGCCUUAUGUGAAACAAAACACCAAACAGAACAAAAAAGCCUGCAGGAAGGUUAGCAGUCCUCACCAGGACAUCACAGCAGCUCCCCUUCCUUGCAAAAUCCUAAGUGACAGCUCCAAAACGUGUGUGCUUAUUCGAUCCCCGAACCAAGAGAAAAUGAAAGUGCCUGCUUAGUCACCAGCAGUACCGUGGCACUGACCAAGGUGGAGGUAUUUACUGCUAGCACGACAAGUCAGGGCUGAUUUAUUGUCUUCCUGAUCAACUAGAUUGAGGGCUGACAGACUUGUUCUGUAAAAGGCGGAUGGUAAAUAUUUAAAGGUCCGUGGUUCGUAGUUUCGGGAGUAAUGACCCAACUCUGCCUUUCUAGUGUUAAAGCCACCUCAGGUGAUGGGAGUGACUGUGGCUGUCUCCCAAUAAAGCUUUGUUCCAAAACAGGCUGUGGGCCAGAUUUGGUUUACUGGCCAAAUACUAAUCCAGAAUGAAGGAAGUGACGAAGGAGGCAUAGCUCAUUGACCCUGUGGUACCCAGACUGGGCUCUCUCAAGCCACUCAGAACACUGAAAGCAGGAGAGUGGAGGUGGAGGCCUUGGUGGGUGUCCCCAUGUCACCGUGUGAAACAGAACCAAUGCCAAGAAACACUCACUUCUGGUGCCUUUGGGCACUUGGACAGCAGCAGGAGGAGUUUCACGUGGCUUCAUCCAGUCUUUAGUGAGUGUUGGAGUCAGAGAUGGUACGACAGUUCACUGGAUGACAACUCGGCUAGGCCAUGGGAACCACUGUGCCCGGCUGCUCUGUCAAAAACUAGUCCAGUUGUUGCUGUGAG